CUUGGCUAAGUUCCUUAUAGUAGCGGUAUCCAUCACUAGAGGUGUCCCUAUGGAACUCACAAUUUGUUUUACAUAAUGCCAUGAGUGCAUAUGAAAUGGCAGUCCAGGAAGAAGAAUCCAAACUGGAGAAAUUGUCGAUGUUCGGUACUCGCAUUGGAAUCCCGACUAAUCUGGAUUGUACAAUGCAGGGCCCAUUCUGGGGGCGGCGCUCCCAACAGGAUUUCUCCAUACCCAUGGCUUGAAUCUGAGACCUUUGGUUAAGGGUAAAGUAGUCUCACCACUACACGACAACCAAAAUUGAUCUUAAUUUAUUAUUUUCUUAUAAAGAAUAUGUUGAAUCUCUAGUAAAAAUAACUAUAAAUUAAAUAAACUUUACUUUUUAGAAAGGAAAAAUUACGAAAACUAGAAUAUUUAAGACCUUAAUUACAAUAAAUAGCAACACUUUCUCAAAAUUUCAAGUUGUAGCAAAAGUAGCAAUAUUUUAUCCAUUUUAUAGAAAUGCACGUAGGUUUCUCCCAUUAUUUUUCCUUUUCCCAUUUUAACUCCACUAUUUCACUUCCCUCCAAUCUAACGUAUCUUCUAACCUAUUUUUGUUUUUUCAAAUUUUGCCAUUUUCUCUCAAUUUGGUGAUAAACAUUGUGAUCCAUCAAAUAAGGUUAGUUGAUUUUUACAGUUAUUGCAUGUUAUCUCUUCCAUAUAAUUUAUAUAUUUUAUUUUUUUUAGAUUUUUUCUUCAACACUUAUCUUCAGUUUUUUUUGGAGGGGGUGGGGGGACUUUUUCUUUUUUGUUGAAAGUUUUUGGAGGUCUACUAUAAUGGCAGAACACUCGCAUUGUAGAAGUUCAAUUAGAGUCGAAGAGAGGUGUUAGCAUAGAAGAGGUGAGAUCGAAGAAGCAUAACAAUCCGAAGAAGAUUAUGGAAAUCAUGAAACGGAAAGCAUUGAGAAAACCUUCAUCCCCAAAACCCACAAAAGUUCAAAAAUCUAUGAAAAUGAGGAAGUCAAUCAAAAAAGAAGAAUUUAGUAAAAUAUCAAGUCCUAUUUCAUCUGAUUAUGAAUUUGAAGAAAAGAAAGUGGUAGAGGUAUUUUUAUAUUUGUAUGUUUAUAGAUUAUGGAGAAUAUGUACAUAUAUGUAUUUUUUAUGUACAUUUUAUUUGAUUUGUAUGUAUUUAUCAGUUACUAUUAAGAUAUGAAAUUGUAGUUGUUAAUGUGAAGAUAUGUAUUUGUUAAUG